CGGACGGGUGAGUAACGCGUGGGUAACCUGCCCUGUACAGGGGGAUAACAGUCAGAAAUGACUGCUAAUACCGCAUAAGACCACAGCACCGCAUGGUGCAGGGGUAAAAACUACCGGUGGUACAGGAUGGACCCGCGUCUGAUUAGCUGGUUGGUGAGGUAACGGCUCACCAAGGCGACGAUCAGUAGCCGGCUUGAGAGAGUGAACGGCCACAUUGGGACUGAGACACGGUCCAGACUCCUACGGGAGGCAGCAUG
rnacentral:rRNA from 1 species